rnacentral:rRNA from 1 species
UACGUAGGGGGCAAGCGUUGUCCGGAUUUACUGGGCGUAAAGAGCGUGUAGGCGGCCAAGCAGGUCCGUUGUGAAAACUGGAGGCUUAACCUCCAGACGUCGACGGAAACCGCGUGGCUAGAGUCCGGAAGAGGAGAGUGGAAUUCCUGGCGUAGCGGUGAAAUGCGCAGAUAUCAGGAAGAACACCAAUGGCGAAGGCAGCUCUCUGGGACGGUACUGACGCUGAGACGCGAAAGCGUGGGGAGCGAACAGG